AUCGCAGUCUGCAACCCGACUGCGUGAAGUCGGAAUCGCUAGUAAUCGCGGAUCAGCAUGCUGCGGUGAAUACGUUCCCGGGCCUUGUACACACCGCCCGUCACACCAUGAGAGUCGGGAACACCCGAAGUCCGUAGCCUAACCGCAAGGGGGGCGCGGCCGAAGGUGGGUUCGAUAAUUGGGGUGAAGUCGUAACAAGGUAAC
rnacentral:rRNA from 1 species